AGGUCGAUACUGUAGUGACCCGGAUUUUUAAAAUCUACUUUUUAUUAUAAAAGUGAUUUUCUUCAAGGAAGGGAAUAAAAUUUAAUAUUUUAUUCCUAUUUAAUUAAUUUUCAAAAUUUGUAUUUAAACUCUGGGUUAUUGUGCUAUUGGUAUAUAAUUGUUUCUUCAAAUGCUGUGAUUAUAUUCUCGAGAGUCGGUGUAUUUUAUUUCUAUUGGAUUGCUGAGUCGUGUUAUCAAUUUUUAUUUAAUAUGGAUUUUAUACUGUUUAAAUUCUAUAAAAAUUGUGUAUCGCUUACAAAAUCAUUUUUAUCGCUUUAUAAUUUCAUUAAAUAUUUUUAGAGAUUUAUAAAAUUCAUAAAAUGACAUUUCGUUAAUUAUUCAGCUCUAAAUAAUUUUCUGUGUAGUUUCAAUUGGGGUGUUUCUGUUAAUUUCAAAAAUGAUCCAAAAAUCAUGAAAAUCAUAUUUUAUUAGUUUUUAAUUAUUCUGAGAUUUUUAAAAUUAUUUUGGUAUUUAUCUGAAUCAUUUUAUCUGUGAGUUUGUUCGUUAAAUUGUCAAAAUCAGUUCGGAGCCAGCCAGAUCAGAGGACGCGUGUCAUUUGUUUUAGAUACGUGGCAGCCUCUCCAGUUUAAUCAGUUCAACUCCUUUUCUUUUCUCACCAAAAAUAUCAGUCUCUCACAUCUCUCUUUCUCGCAAUCUCUCUGCUCUCUCUCGCUCAAAUCUCUCUCCUCUCAAACCCCUCUCUCUCGUUAAACUCUUUCUCACCAAUCUCUCAUCCCUCCCAAAUCUCCCGAAUCUCUCUCUCACUCUCACAAUCUCUCUCUCUCUCUGUUUUACUCUCCCGCGCCGCUCCUUUUCCGGCCACCGCCCACCAUUCCGCCGCCGUCCACCGCAGCUCCUCUUCUCCGAUUUCCUCCAUCCCUCUCCCCUGCUCUCUUCUCUUUAUGGAUCGAGCAUUGAGGGCGUGAUACCAAGCAAGGGCAGAAAAUGGGAGAGUUGUAUAGCGGUUCAGUAGUUACGGAUUGUUCGAGACGAUAGAAUCAGACGUUGGGGAUCAAGACUGAAGUUAGAUAAGAUUUUGUAUCAGGCUGCAGCAAUCGCAUGAGCGCCAUAGCAGAGAAUCAGGAAUAGUUGAGGGGGAUGUCUUGAGAAAGCAGAAUAAGAUAAGGAUAUUAGCUGAGAGUGUAUAAGCUAAGGAUCAAAGCUAAGGCUAGAGAUGGAUUAUCUGAGAGUGAUGCUAAGCGGCAAGGAUUCUAAGAGGUCAAGUACAUUAGAGAUCAGAUCCAGACCCCCGGAUCUGAGGGCUGUCACAGUUGGUAUCAGAGCUACAGGUUACAAAGUAUUGAAAUUAGAAUGUAGAUAGUGAUUAGAGAUGUUUUGAGUGGAACCUCAUAUAGAGGUGAUGCAAGACUAUUGGUUAUAAUCUUUGUCAAUAGAACUGAUAUUGAGUUGGAGUAUUGAUUCAGAACAAUCAUUUUGGGUUAAAUUCUAGUUCUAUUUCUAGAACUAGUGAGUUGGAUGUCAAGAGAAACGUGAUGGGACACUUUUAGUUUCCAACCUAUUAAAUCUUGAGAUUAAUUCUGAUUAACCAUUACCAGCUAGACUUGUGGAGAAACCUGUCUAGUCUAGAAUAUUCCUUAUUGUCUUUACCACUUUUAGAGAAUUUGGUAAGGGGUCAUCUAUUUGUUUAGAAAUAUUCACAUAAAAUGAGUAUGAGAUUUGUUGGGUUGGAGUGAGAAUCCAUAGUUUUCAGUUUAAGAGCUUAUAUAUGUAUUUUGUGUUAGACUACUCGAUACAGUACUAUGAGAAGGCUAGAACGUCAACGCUCUACGGUGCUGAGUGUAUAAAGUGGAAGAUGGCUUCUGAAAGUGCCAAGCUGGAUAGGACUUUUUACUAAAGUAGAUGGAGGUAAAGGAAUCUUUAGAGUCGAUUACGAAUCGGCAAGAAUAUUAGAAUAUCGAGAAGGAUUGUUAGAAUAGAAACGAGCUAGAGGAAUCAGUGAAGAAGACAUCUGUGAGAAUUUCGGCAAUACCUUCUCAAAUUUUUGAUUAUAUUGAAUAUUUUCCCAUUCACUGAAUUGUUUAACAUCACUUUUAUAGCGAUGUUCCUUAAAGAAUAUAUUUCUCUUUAACGGUAUAGUGUCUCUCUUGAAAAUAUAGCAUGAUGCAAAUAUUUCCUGUAUCACUUCUGAUCAUUCUUUUUGUUGAAAUUAACACCUUUGGAAUCUAUUCGAUUUUGACAUCUUUUCAUAAAUUCAUCAAAAGCCGAUCAUUAUUAGCUGAUUUCCAAUUUCUCUCAUAUUUUCUAUUCCCACUGAGAUGAACAACCCUACCUGUAGGGGACACAAGGACUAUCUGUCUAUGUGAUAGAGGUUUGAUGGGACGCCAUCACUUGUGUGUGUUGUACAUUACAAGAAGGUUAACUACCUUUAGUGGUGUCUAAUAGAGGCACGCAACACCAAGUUCAGUGGAUCAUAUUGAUCUCUCAGUCAUUCUUUUAUUCAAAUAAAACUUACCUUGAAAACAUCUUGUUUCAUAAUCAAAUUCUCAAAGGUUGAUUCUGAGAAGUGAAGUCUGCAAUUGUGAAAGUUUUGACUCUCCCUUUUUCUCUAAAGUUGAAGCUAUGCCAAGGAUUAAUCAAUAGUGAAUGACGAUACGGUAUUGCGUCGCGGAUUCUGAGGACAGAAUCUUUAUAAGGAGGGUAGAAUGUAAUACCCUAGAUUUUAAACUUAGAUUAUGAUUACUACAGACUUGAUUUGUCUAGAUAUUAACGUGGCAUUUAAUUGAUCAAUGUGUGGUUUCUGAUAUGGUAGAUGGUCUAUAUGUGAGUAUAUUUGUUCUGUGGAUUAUAUUAUGUGUCCUUCUUUCUCUGAUUCCGAGGACGGAAUCCCUAUAAGGAGGGUAGAUUGUAGUGACCCGGAUUUUUAAAAUCUACUUUUUAUUAUAAAAGUGAUUUUCUUCAAGGAAGGGAAUAAAAUUUAAUAUUUUAUUCCUAUUUAAUUAAUUUUCAAAAUUUGUAUUUAAACUCUGGGUUAUUGUGCUAUUGGUAUAUAAUUGUUUCUUCAAAUGCUGUGAUUAUAUUCUCGAGAGUCGGUGUAUUUUAUUUCUAUUGGAUUGCUGAGUCGUGUUAUCAAUUUUUAUUUAAUAUGGAUUUUAUACUGUUUAAAUUCUAUAAAAAUUGUGUAUCGCUUACAAAAUCAUUUUUAUCGCUUUAUAAUUUCAUUAAAUAUUUUUAGAGAUUUAUAAAAUUCAUAAAAUGACAUUUCGUUAAUUAUUCAGCUCUAAAUAAUUUUCUGUGUAGUUUCAAUUGGGGUGUUUCUGUUAAUUUCAAAAAUGAUCCAAAAAUCAUGAAAAUCAUAUUUUAUUAGUUUUUAAUUAUUCUGAGAUUUUUAAAAUUAUUUUGGUAUUUAUCUGAAUCAUUUUAUCUGUGAGUUUGUUCGUUAAAUUGUCAAAAUCAGUUCGGAGCCAGCCAGAUCAGAGGACGCGUGUCAUUUGUUUUAGAUACGUGGCAGCCUCUCCAGUUUAAUCAGUUCAACUCCUUUUCUUUUCUCACCAAAAAUAUCAGUCUCUCACAUCUCUCUUUCUCGCAAUCUCUCUGCUCUCUCUCGCUCAAAUCUCUCUCCUCUCAAACCCCUCUCUCUCGUUAAACUCUUUCUCACCAAUCUCUCAUCCCUCCCAAAUCUCCCGAAUCUCUCUCUCACUCUCACAAUCUCUCUCUCUCUCUGUUUUACUCUCCCGCGCCGCUCCUUUUCCGGCCACCGCCCACCAUUCCGCCGCCGUCCACCGCAGCUCCUCUUCUCCGAUUUCCUCCAUCCCUCUCCCCUGCUCUCUUCUCUUUAUGGAUCGAGCAUUGAGGGCGUGAUACCAAGCAAGGGCAGAAAAUGGGAGAGUUGUAUAGCGGUUCAGUAGUUACGGAUUGUUCGAGACGAUAGAAUCAGACGUUGGGGAUCAAGACUGAAGUUAGAUAAGAUUUUGUAUCAGGCUGCAGCAAUCGCAUGAGCGCCAUAGCAGAGAAUCAGGAAUAGUUGAGGGGGAUGUCUUGAGAAAGCAGAAUAAGAUAAGGAUAUUAGCUGAGAGUGUAUAAGCUAAGGAUCAAAGCUAAGGCUAGAGAUGGAUUAUCUGAGAGUGAUGCUAAGCGGCAAGGAUUCUAAGAGGUCAAGUACAUUAGAGAUCAGAUCCAGACCCCCGGAUCUGAGGGCUGUCACAGAUACAGCUAUCCAUGUAAAAUCGUUUGUUUGCUUGCUCUCAAAGGGAAGCUGUUUCGAUGGUGAACACCAACGGGAACAAGGAAGCGCGGUCGAAUUCUGGUUUGAAUCCUUACAGUGAUUUGUUUCAUAACAAGACAUGAGAGCCGAUGAUUAGGUUUAAACCUCCCCGCUAUCUGAUGAUCAGAAAUCAUGGAUUUCUUCUACUGGGUUUGGUUCUGUAUUAAGUUUCCAGUCAAAGGAAUACCCUGUCGAAAUUUCUGCAUUUUUGUUAUCGUCGUUUGAACCAAACCCUCCAGUCUUAAGGAUAAAUGAAAGUAUUUUUGAGAUAAAUGAGGAAGAUGUUCGGGAAAUCAUGGGUUCCCCCAUUGGCGAACAAGAUAUUGUUUUUGUUGAAAGGACGGAUGUGAUAAAGAGCUUGACCAAUAAUUUAACAAGGGCAAAGCAUUGUUAUCAAGUAACUCCCUCUGAUCUUUGCAAAGCUAUCACUGCAAACCAAGCUGCUGAUGAAGAGUUCAAAUUGAACUUUAUCGUGCUUUUGAGCAAUUCAUUAAAUAGAAUCAGAUACUCAGAGAACAGUAUAUAAAGAAUCGUGUAUUUUAUGUUUAUGUACUUUUUUAUGCAGGCAUGAUAAAAACAAAAUUAGGCGCCUGAAAGAUUUAGCUUCAUCAAAUUGUGUUAUCUGACAUGUGGAAUGAUCGUCCAAUUGUAUGGCUUAUAAGAGUUUGUUGUCUAGAUGAACUUUUACCGAAA